AUGGGUUUGCCUUGGUAUCGUGUUCAUACUGUCGUAUUGAAUGAUCCGGGUCGAUUGCUUGCGGUGCAUAUAAUGCACACAGCUCUAGUUUCUGGUUGGGCUGGCUCAAUGGCUUUAUACGAAUUAGCAGUUUUUGAUCCCUCUGAUCCUGUUCUGGAUCCAAUGUGGAGACAAGGUAUGUUCGUAAUUCCCUUCAUGACUCGUUUAGGAAUAACGGAUUCGUGGGGUGGUUGGAGUAUUUCAGGAGGAACUGUAACAAAUCCGGGUAUUUGGAGUUAUGAAGGUGUGGCAGGGGUGGCUUGCUUUGGCUUUGGGGCAUUUCAUGUAACGGGUUUGUAUGGUCCUGGGAUAUGGGUAUCCGAUCCUUAUGGACUAACUGGAAAAGUACAAGCUGUAAAUCCAGCAUGGGGUGCAGAAGGUUUUGAUCCUUUUGUUCCGGGGGGAAUAGCUUCUCAUCAUAUUGCUGCGGCUUUCGUAGUUGCUGGAACUAUGUGGUAUGGGUCAGCAACGACCCCAAUCGAAUUAUUUGGGCCUACUCGUUAUCAGUGGGAUCAGGGAUACUUUCAGCAAGAAAUAUAUCGAAGAGUUAGCAAUGGUUUAGCCGAAAAUCUUAGUUUAUCAGAAGCUUGGUCUAAAAUUCCCAAAAAAUUAGCCUUUUAUGAUUAUAUUGGUAAUAAUCCGGCAAAAGGGGGAUUAUUCAGAGCAAGAUCAAUGGACAAUGGGGAUGGAAUAACUGUUGGAUGGUUAGGACAUCCCGUCUUUAGAGAUAAAGAAGGACAUGAGCUUUUUGUACGUCGUAUGCCUACUUUUUUUUGA
rnacentral:rRNA from 1 species